rnacentral:rRNA from 1 species
UACAUGUGGGGCAAGCGUUGUUCGGAAUUACUGGGCGUAAAGGGUGCGUAGGUGGCUUAGUAAGUCAGUGGUGAAAUCGUCCGGCCCAACCGGACACGUGCCAAUGAUACUGCUGAGCUCGAGUGCGUGAGGGGUAGGGGGAACGAGCAGUGUAGCGGUGAAAUGCGUAGAUAUUGCUCGGAAGGCCAAAGCCGAAGGGACCCUACUGGUGCGCAACUGACACUGAGGCACGAAAGCGUGGGGAGCAAACAGG